GUCGGGAUAGCCAAGCUUGGUUAAGGCGGACGCCUCGAAAUCUCAUUACAGGAUAGCGUCUGUGCAUCGCACGCGGGGGUUCAAAUCCCUCUCCCGGCG
rnacentral:tRNA from 2 species